AUGAACGCUGGCGGCGUGCCUAAUACAUGCACGUCGAGCGAACAGACGAGGAGCUUGCUCCUCUGACGUUAGCGGCGGACGGGUGAGUAACACGUGGAUAACCUACCUAUAAGACUGGGAUAACUUCGGGAAACCGGAGCUAAUACCGGAUAAUAUAUUGAACCGCAUGGUUCAAUAGUGAAAGACGGUUUUGCUGUCACUUAUAGAUGGAUCCGCGCCGCAUUAGCUAGUUGGUAAGGUAACGGCUUACCAAGGCAACGAUGCGUAGCCGACCUGAGAGGGUGAUCGGCCACACUGGAACUGAGACACGGUCCAGACUCCUACGGGAGGCAGCAGUAGGGAAUCUUCCGCAAUGGGCGAAAGCCUGACGGAGCAACGCCGCGUGAGUAAUGAAGGUCUUCGGAUCGUAAAACUCUGUUAUUAGGGAAGAACAAAUGUGUAAGUAACUAUGCACGUCUUGACGGUACCUAAUCAGAAAGCCACGGCUAACUACGUG
rnacentral:rRNA from 1 species